ACGUGCAGCGCUUUGGGCACACGCCCUCUUAGGGGUGGGGUGUAUAUAUACGCCGUUUCCGCCUGACUAAGUCGUUUGAAUUGUUUGGUGCGUGUUGCCCGUGGUUGUGUGUCGCGGGAAGAACACUGUGGCUGAGGUUUGUGUGCGGGAAGCCUGACUAAGCAGGAACGACACACACAGCGAAGUGGUUGACCACUGUUUUCCCAUACUUUAAUUUGUUUGUAAUUUUAGGCUGUGAGAGAGCCACCAACACAUAUUUCUUUUGGGUUUUUGUUUCCCUUUGUUUGAAUGAAUGUGUGUCCUUUUUGGUUAACUGCCACCUGGGUGUUACCACCCUCUGGAUACAUUAGGUCCAGUGAAUUUACAGUUUCUGACAUUUUGUGUGUUUUUGAGAUCCCCAAACACUAUUGUGUGGAGUGUGUUAGAGCCUUGACUCACAUUGUUCUGGAUUCUGUUAGUCCACUUAAAUGGAUUGAUUUGUAGUGUGUUAAUCCAGAUGGUGUUGCUUUUUAUUGGGGAUUGGUUUGUCAGACUGUUUACUGGUUACUCAUGGCCUGUAUACCGUGGUGGGGAGCUACUUUGAUGGCAGUGUGUGAAUGUACGUGUGUGAAUUAUUGUUUCGUAAUCUCAUUCAUUAUCAGCGACCAGAUAUUUAUUGAAUAAACCAUACUGUAUUUUGCUACAUUUCUGCCUCUGCAUAGUCAUUCAUUUGAUUAGCCUGCGUCCUGUGGACCUUCAGAAUAAGUGACAGUCAGGGUUUGUCACAACGUUAAUAUUCAUAAAGUGGUUUCCACAAAGGUCUAAUUUGAGGUAGCCUGGCUGCCAGCCGAAUUUAGCCCCGCCCACAAAAAAAAUUGGUCGGGAAGUUCGGUUUGGAGUUGCUCGGUCCGGGAAAACUAAUGCCCGAACAAGAGCUGUUCGGACCAACCAAAUUGUCAGAGCGGGCUUUAUACGAUGAUGGACAGAUGAUCAACAGUAACGUAAUCAACCACGUCACCAAAGAGCGCUUGGGUUAAAUUUGUUUUCAACAAACAACAUAUUACGUUGCUCUGAUUGGUUGUAGGUCUAUCCAAUUUAGUGAAGGGGCAUUCUCUUCAGGGUUCGGUUGAAACACGCCCCAUAUUCACAGCCCAAUGGAAAGGUUUCAGACUC